UGGGGAAUAUUGCACAAUGGGCGAAAGCCUGAUGCAGCGACGCCGCGUGAGCGAAGAAGUAUUUCGGUAUGUAAAGCUCUAUCAGCAGGGAAGAUAAUGACGGUACCUGACUAAGAAGCACCGGCUAAAUACGUGCCAGCAGCCGCGGUAAUACGUAUGGUGCAAGCGUUAUCCGGAUUUACUGGGUGUAAAGGGAGCACAGGCGGUACGGCAAGUCUGAUGUGAAAGCCCGGGGCUCAACCCCGGUACUGCAUUGGAAACUGUCGAACUAGAGUGUCGGAGGGGUAAGUGGAAUUCCUAGUGUAGCGGUGAAAUGCGUAGAUAUUAGGAGGAAC
rnacentral:rRNA from 1 species